UACGUAGGGGGCAAGCGUUGUCCGGAGUUACUGGGCGUAAAGCGCACGCAGGCGGUCUGUUAAGUUUGGAGUGACAGUUGGUGGCUUAACUGCCAAAGUGCUUCGAAAACUGAUCGACUUGAGGGCUUCAGAGGGACACGGAAUUCCGGGUGGAGUGGUGAAAUGCGUAGAGAUCGGGAGGAACACCCGUGGCGAAGGCGAUGGCCUGGACCUCGAGCUGACGCUGAGGCGCGAAAGCGUGGGGAGCGAUCCGG
rnacentral:rRNA from 1 species